rnacentral:rRNA from 1 species
GACGAUCGCUGGCGGCGUGCUUAACACAUGCAAGUCGAACGGAAAGGCCCUGCUUUUGUGGGGUGCUCGAGUGGCGAACGGGUGAGUAACACGUGAGUAACCUGCCCUUGACUUUGGGAUAACUUCAGGAAACUGGGGCUAAUACCGGAUAGGAGCUCCUGCUGCAUGGUGGGGGUUGGAAAGUUUCGGCGGUUGGGGAUGGACUCGCGGCUUAUCAGCUUGUUGGUGGGGUAGUGGCUUACCAAGGCUUUGACGGGUAGCCGGCCUGAGAGGGUGACCGGCCACAUUGGGACUGAGAUACGGCCCAGACUCCUACGGGAGGCAGCAGUGGGGAAUAUUGCACAAUGGGCGGAAGCCUGAUGCAGCAACGCCGCGUGCGGGAUGACGGCCUUCGGGUUGUAAACCGCUUCCGCCUGUGACGAAGCGUGAGUGACGGUAAUGGGUAAAGAAGCACCGGCUAACUACGUG